rnacentral:rRNA from 1 species
GCUUACGGCCAUACCAGCCUGGGUACGCCCGAUCUCGUCUCAUCUCGGAAGCUAAGCAGGGUCGGGCCUGGUUAGUACUUGGAUGGGAGACCGCCUGGGAAUACCAGGUGCUGUAAGCA